rnacentral:rRNA from 1 species
AUGGCCGGUCGACGCAGCUCCUCCUCUCGCGCCCCUAGCUCCAAGGCUGGAGAUUGGGAGAGAUGUUCUGUCCCACACAGCAAGUUAGUGAUGCUUCAGACCAAGGGAUUUCUUUCCCCAGCGUACCUGGUCCCGGUUCGAGCCGGGCUUGCCACCUAUAAUGGCGGAGAGCAAGCGGAGAGCCUUCCCAAUCCCUCCAAGGGAGAGCGGGUUUGCCUUGUCCCUUAUUUGGUAAGAGGGCUCGGAUUCCCAAUUGAUCCGUUUCUCCGGGGGCUCCUGAAGUUCUACGACCUCCAGUUGCACAAUCUUACGCCCGCCUCCCUGCUGCAUAUCGUGGGAUUCGUAGCCCUUUGCGAGUUGUUUUUGGGCUGUGAAGCUCAUUUCGCUCUGUGGAAAAAGUUGUUCUGCCUUGUGCCCCAUUCUCAGAAGGGGUCAAUGUAUCAAGUGGGCGGAGCCGAAGUGUGGCGUAUUGCCGAGACCUGA